GUUCUAAUAGUUGAUUUCAUUGGAUUAGAAAAACUUAGCCAUGGUUUAGUUAUUGGCACGGUAACAAGAAGGACAUCAAUUGCUAUUACAUCAACAUUAGUCGGUUUUAUACGAGACAAGACUGGAUCGUAUGUGGGUGGAUUCUACCUCAUGGGGAUCUCUUUGAUUCUUGGUGGAUUUUUAUUGUUAUUGAAGCCAUUGAUAUCAAAAUAAAGAUGUUUUCCUGG